rnacentral:rRNA from 1 species
GGACCGAACCGACUAAUGUUGAAAAAUUAGCGGAUGACUUGUGGCUGGGGGUGAAAGGCCAAUCAAACCGGGAGAUAGCUGGUUCUCCCCGAAAGCUAUUUAGGUAGCGCCUCGUGAAUUCAUCUCCGGGGGUAGAGCACUGUUUCGGCAAGGGGGUCAUCCCGACUUACCAACCCGAUGCAAACUGCGAAUACCGGAGAAUGUUAUCACGGGAGACACACGGCGGGUGCUAACGUCCGUCGUGAAGAGGGAAACAACCCAGACCGCCAGCUAAGGUCCCAAAGUCAUGGUUAAGUGGGAAACGAUGUGGGAAGGCCCAGACAGCCAGGAUGUUGGCUUAGAAGCAGCCAUCAUUUAAAGAAAGCGUAAUAGCUCACUGGUCGAGUCGGCCUGCGCGGAAGAUGUAACGGGGCUAAACCAUGCACCGAAGCUGCGGCAGCGACGCUUAUGCGUUGUUGGGUAGGGGAGCGUUCUGUAAGCCUGUGAAGGUGUGCUGUGAGGCAUGCUGGAGGUAUCAGAAGUGCGAAUGCUGACAUAAGUAACGAUAAAGCGGGUGAAAAGCCCGCUCGCCGGAAGACCAAGGGUUCCUGUCCAACGUUAAUCGGGGCAGGGUGAGUCGACCCCUAAGGCGAGGCCGAAAGGCGUAGUCGAUGGGAAACAGGUUAAUAUUCCUGUACUUGGUGUUACUGCGAAGGGGGGACGGAGAAGGCUAUGUUGGCCGGGCGACGGUUGUCCCGGUUUAAGCGUGUAGGCUGGUUUUCCAGGCAAAUCCGGAAAAUCAAGGCUGAGGCGUGAUGACGAGGCACUACGGUGCUGAAGCAACAAAUGCCCUGCUUCCAGGAAAAGCCUCUAAGCAUCAGGUAACAUCAAAUCGUACCCCAAACCGACACAGGUGGUCAGGUAGAGAAUACCAAGGCGCUUGAGAGAACUCGGGUGAAGGAACUAGGCAAAAUGGUGCCGUAACUUCGGGAGAAGGCACGCUGAUAUGUAGGUGAAGUCCCUCGCGGAUGGAGCUGAAAUCAGUCGAAGAUACCAGCUGGCUGCAACUGUUUAUUAAAAACACAGCACUGUGCAAACACGAAAGUGGACGUAUACGGUGUGACGCCUGCCCGGUGCCGGAAGGUUAAUUGAUGGGGUCAGCGCAAGCGAAGCUCUUGAUCGAAGCCCCGGUAAACGGCGGCCGUAACUAUAACGGUCCUAAGGUAGCGAAAUUCCUUGUCGGGUAAGUUCCGACCUGCACGAAUGGCGUAAUGAUGGCCAGGCUGUCUCCACCCGAGACUCAGUGAAAUUGAACUCGCUGUGAAGAUGCAGUGUACCCGCGGCAAGACGGAAAGACCCCGUGAACCUUUACUAUAGCUUGACACUGAACAUUGAGCCUUGAUG